rnacentral:rRNA from 1 species
GAUGAACGCUAGCUACAGGCUUAACACAUGCAAGUCGAGGGACCGGCGCACGUGUGAGUAACACGUAUCCCACCUGCACUUUACUCGGUGAUAGCCUUUCGAAAGAAAGAUUAAUACCCAAUAUAAAGUAUGGGGAUGCGUUCCGUUAGGGUGUUGGUGAGGUAACGGCUCACCAAGCCUUCGAUGGAUGGGGGUUCGGGGAGGCAGGUCCACCACAUUGGAACUGAGGUCCAGUCCAAAAUCCGACGUGAGGCAGCAGUGUGGAAUACUGGUCAAUGGGCGCUAGCCUGAACCAGCCAAGUAGCGUGAAGGAUGAAUGCUUAUGGGUCGUAAUCUUCUUUUAUAUAAGAAUAGGUAUUAGAUGAAUAAGGAUCGGCUAACUCCGUGCCAGCAGCCGCGGUAAUUC